rnacentral:ncRNA from 1 species
GUACGUCUUCAGGGCGGGGUGAAACUCCCCACCGGCGGUAUGCCGCGCAAUGCGGCGAGCCCGCGAGCGCCCGGCACACGCCGGGGUCAGCAGAUCUGGUGAGAUGCCAGGGCCGACGGUCAUAGUCCGGAUGAAAGAAGAUGUGC